AGUGAACGCUGGCGGUAGGCCUAACACAUGCAAGUCGAACGGCAGCACAGAGGAGCUUGCUCCUUGGGUGGCGAGUGGCGGACGGGUGAGGAAUACAUCGGAAUCUACUCUGUCGUGGGGGGUAACGUAGGGAAACUUACGCUAAUACCGCAUACGACCUACGGGUGAAAGCAGGGGACCUUCGGGCCUUGCGCGAUUGAAUGAGCCGAUGUCGGAUUAGCUAGUUGGCGGGGUAAAGGCCCACCAAGGCGACGAUCCGUAGCUGGUCUGAGGGGAUGAGCAGCCACACUGGAACUGAGACACGGUCCAGACUCAUACGGGGGGCAGCAGUGGGGAAUAUUGGACAAUGGGCGCAAGCCUGAUCCAGCCAUACCGCGUGGGUGAAGAAGGCCUUCGGGUUGUAAAGCCCUUUUGUUGGGAAAGAAAUCCAGCUGGCUAAUACCCGGUUGGGAUGACGGUACCCAAAGAAUAAGCACCGGCUAACUUCGUGCCAGCCGCCGCGGUAA
rnacentral:rRNA from 1 species